GACGAACGCUGGCGGCGGGCCUAACACAUGCAAGUCGAGCGGAGCGGCGGACGGGUGAGUAAUGCCUAGGAAUCUGCCUGGUAGUGGGGGAUAACGUCAGGCAACGGGCGCUAAUACCGCAUACUAUCAGAAGAGCCUAGGUUGGAUUAGCUAGUUGGGGGGGUAAAGGCCUACCAAGGCGACGAUCCGUAACUGGUCUGAGAGGAUGAUAAGUCACACUGGAACUGAGACACGUUCCAGACUCCUACUGGAGGCAGCAGUGGGGAAUAUUGGACAAUGGGCGAAAGCCUGAUCCAGCCAGUCCGGGUGUGUGAAGAAGGUCUUCGGAUUGUAAAGCACUUUAAGUUGGGAGGCGUUACCAACAGAAUAAGCACCGGCUAACUUCGUGCCAGCCGCGCGGUAAUUC
rnacentral:rRNA from 1 species